rnacentral:rRNA from 1 species
UACGUAGGGUGCAAGCGUUAAUCGGAAUUACUGGGCGUAAAGCGUGCGCAGGCGGUGAUGUAAGACAGAUGUGAAAUCCCCGGGCUUAACCUGGGAACUGCAUUGGUGACUGGCGGGCUAGAGUAUGGCAGAGGGGGGUAGAAUUCCACGUGUAGCAGUGAAAUGCGUAGAGAUGUGGAGGAAUACCGAUGGCGAAGGCAGCCCCCUGGGCCAAUACUGACGCUCAUGCACGAAAGCGUGGGGAGCAAACAGG